GAUGAACGCUAGCGGCAGGCCUAAUACAUGCAAGUCGAACGGUAAGUAUUUUAGCAAUAGAAUACGAGAGUGACGUACGGGUGCGUAACACGUAUGCAACCUACCCUUUACAGGAGGAUAGCUCGGGGAAACUCGAAUUAACCCUCCAUGAGAUCACAGUGUGGCAUCACACAGUGAUUAAAACUCCGGUGGUAAAGGAUGGGCAUGCGUCUGAUUAGUUAGUUGGCGGGGUAACGGCCCACCAAGACGAUGAUCAGUAGGGGAACUGAGAGGUUGAUCCCCCACACUGGCACUGAGAUACGGGCCAGACUCCUACGGGAGGCAGCAGUAGGGAAUAUUGGUCAAUGGAUGGAAGACUGAACCAGCCAUGCCGCGUGCAGGAAGAAGGCCUUCUGGGUUGUAAACUGCUUUUGCCAGGGGAUAAAAAGACCAUGCGUGGUUAAUUGAAGGUACCUGGUGAAUAAGCACGGCUAACUACGUGCCAGCAGCCGCGGUAAUACG
rnacentral:rRNA from 1 species